rnacentral:rRNA from 1 species
UACGGAGGGUGCAAGCGUUAUCCGGAUUCACUGGGUUUAAAGGGUGCGUAGGCGGAUUAGAAAGUCCGUUGUGAAAUCUCUGAGCUUAACUCAGAAACUGCCAUGGAUACUAUUUGUCUUGAAUAUUGUGGAGGUAAGCGGAAUAUGUCAUGUAGCGGUGAAAUGCUUAGAUAUGACAUAGAACACCAAUUGCGAAGGCAGCUUACUACACAGUUAUUGACGCUGAGGCACGAAAGCGUGGGGAUCAAACAGG